CCCUUAGAUGUUCUGGGCCGCACGCGCGCUACACUGAUGCAUUCAACGAUCCUAUCCUUGACCGACAGGUCCGGGUAAUCUUUGAAUCUGCAUCGUGACGGGGAUAGAUUAUUGCAAUUAUUAAUCUUCAACGAGGAAUGCCUAGUAGGCGCAAGUCAUCAGCUUGCGUCGAUUACGUCCCUGCCCUUUGUACACACCGCCCGUCGCUCCUACCGAUUGGGUGUGCUGGUGAAAUGUUCGGAUCGGCCGUUUGUCGCGGUUUCCGCGUCAUGUGGCUGAGAAGUUCAUUAAACCCUCCCACCUAGAGGAAGGAGAAGUCGUAACA
rnacentral:rRNA from 1 species